CGGCGGAGAAAAUGCCACCAGCCCAUUGUUAAGAGACACAGUGCUGGUCUCCUGUGCUCAACUACCCGCACACGCAAUCAGCGCAGCGAGCAGUUUUCUGGCCACCACUGGAGCAGAAUGUGCAGCAGUGAAACACGCCUGGGUGCGAGCGGUGCCUCUUCCUCACGGUCACCGUGAAUGGCGAGCCCUUCGGUGUUCAGACCAAGAGCAAAGAAUAGCACCUUAUGAGCCAACAGAGAUGUGCUGAGCAUCACACGUGCUAAACAGAGUGUGCAGUGUGUUUUGAGAAGUUUGGUUUCUCCGUCUAAUUGGGUGAUGAUCCCUGUGUCUGAAUGGUCUGGAAGAAUGAAUAAUGUGUGCAAAAACAGCUGACCCACUCCAGCACAGUGUAAUCAGGCCAACAGUAAGUGGCUAUUGACUGAGUCUUCCCAGUGCACAUGCCAUAAACCUAACCUAUCAUGACACUGAAUAGCAUUUUAUUGUCCCCAUCAGUGUUGAUUUCUGGUUGGGGGAGACUUCUGACUACUCAAGUGUCAGUGUCUGAAAAAAUUCAUAAUCUCUAACCA